GGGUUCGGGAAUAUUUUUCUCGAAGGGUUUUUCUUAAUGGUCGGGCCGCCAUUU
rnacentral:ncRNA from 12 species